GUGAUCUUGGACUUCUCAGACUCUAAAACUAUCGUCCCUCUCCGAAUUUCACACGCCUGUGGGCCCUCCGGUUCCAGCCUGCCACUAUGAUCUUCCCUCCUGCUCCAGUCUUUUGCAUUGCCGUGAUCCCACGAUUCCUGCUUCCCAGCCACCCUCACCGGAUACCCGGCAGAGAGGUCAUGUGAGCAUACAGCAAGAAGGCAGCCAUCUGCGAUGCAAGAAGAAAACCCUCACCAGAAAGUGAAUAUGCUAGAACCAUGAUCUUGGACUUUCAGCCUCUAAAACUGUGAGAAAAUAAAUCUCUGUUGUUCAGGC